GACUGAGGACAUAGCUCAGUGGGUAAAGUGCCUGCCACACAAGCCUGGGGACCGGCUUUGGAUUGCCAGCACCCACAUGAAACUAGGUGUGGUGGGGCACAUCUGUCAUCCAUGCACUGGGCACAGAGACACAUCCCUGGAGCACAAUGGCCAGCCUGGGCAGCCUGUGGGUGAGCUCUAGGGUCAACGAGAGAGCUCUGUCUCAAGAACUAAGGUGGAGUUCAUAGAUCCCAAAGGACAUUCCAGUGGGGAGCCCCAUCACCAGGCAAGAGGAAGCUAUGUGCCUGGGUCUCAGAAGAGCAGAGACUGGGGCAGAGGAGACAGAGUGAGGAGGAGUCAGAUGGCUGACCCAGAAAGGGCCUGAUGUGUCACAGAAGGUCUCAGGAGUCCAAAGAUGGAAAGCAGGAGCAGACCCACACGAGAGGUGGGAGAAGAUAAAGGAAACACAGGAGAAGCUCUGAAUGUGAGAGGGCUGGAGAGUUGCUGGUCACUAAGACAGCCGACUGAUUCCUGAGUGUGAAUUUGGUCUUCAAGAGAUGGUGCCUGCUUGUCCUGGGGUGCGUGCUUCUCCUAGCCUGUCUGCCUCAGACGGAAUUCCAGUGAUAACGCCCUACCUUGUGUCCCUGCUGCUGCUGCUAUGUGCAUCCUGUGAAUGCUACCGGAGCUGCUGUGGUGGGGGCGGGCAAAGACUCAUCCAUCAUCCCUGGCAGGCCAGACCUCCACACCGCACAGGAGAUGCCCAUAAACAAGUUCUUUGUUCUUGAGGGAUGAAGAAAGUCCAGACUCAUUGACUCUGGGGCCUUGAUCAGGACUGGGUCUCAGCACCACGCUUUGUCAGCCUGCGUAGAAGGCAGCAUCAUGGUGAGGCAGGCAGGUGCCACAGUGACAGAGCACUUGGCCAGCAGGCAUGAGGCCCCGGCCCUUUGUAAUAGUGCCGAUGAGGAUGAUGUGACUGACAUAGGACAGCAAGGUCCCUGAUGGAGAGCUAACUCGCCCAGUUCCUCAGCCCCAGGAGAGCGCAAACAGUGUCCUAUUUGCCAUCAGAAAUCCUUCAAGAUGGCAUCAGGCCAAAAUCCCCCCAGUGAGUGUCCUUAACCAGUCAAAAUAAAGACUCCCUCAACCAGC